AUUGAACGCUGGCGGCAGGCUUAACACAUGCAAGUCGAGCGGAGAGAGGUAGCUUGCUACUGAUCUUAGCGGCGGACGGGUGAGUAAUGCUUAGGAAUCUGCCUAUUAGUGGGGGACAACAUUUCGAAAGGAAUGCUAAUACCGCAUACGUCCUACGGGAGAAAGCAGGGGAUCUUCGAACCUUGCGCUAAUAGAUGAGCCUAAGUCGGAUUAGCUAGUUGGUGGGGUAAAGGCCUACCAAGGCGACGAUCUGUAGCGGGUCUGAGAGGAUGAUCCGCCACACUGGGACUGAGACACGGCCCAGACUCCUACGGGAGGCAGCAGUGGGGAAUAUUGGACAAUGGGCGGGAGCCUGAUCCAGCCAUGCCGCGUGUGUGAAGAAGGCCUUAUGGUUGUAAAGCACUUUAAGCGAGGAGGAGGCUACUUUAGUUAAUACCUAGAGAUAGUGGACGUUACUCGCAGAAAAAGCACCGGCUAACUUCGUGCCAGCCGCCGCGGUAA
rnacentral:rRNA from 1 species